AUGUCGAUGAGCACAUGCUCAUUACCAUCGCCGUCAACGCCGUGCGCGGGCAACAUGACGUGCGAUGGCCCCCUUGGCAAUGGCAGCCGCUUCGCCGCUAGCCUCAACAACGUAAGCUUCCAGACCCCCUCCGUGGACAUCCUCGACGCCUACUACGGCUCCGUCCGCGGCGUGUACGAGGCGGACUUCCCCGAUAAGCCGCCCUUCUUCUUCAACUUUACCGACGACAACGUCCCAAAGGAGCGCUGGUUCACGAAGCGCGGCACCAAGGUAAAGGUGCUGGGCUACGGAGCCGUGGUGGAGGUGGUUUUCCAGGACACGGCCAUCCUAGGAGCCGAGACCCACCCGAUGCACCUGCACGGGUUCGCCUUCUACGUGGUGGGAAGAGGGUUUGGGAACUUCGACAUGCACAAGGAUCCGGGCACAUACAACUUGAUCGACCCGCCGUACCAGAACACCGUCUCCGUGCCCAAGGCUGGCUGGGCGGCAGUUCGCUUCCGUGCUACAAAUCCCGGUGUGUGGUUUAUGCACUGUCACUUCGAUCGUCAUCAGGUAUGGGGGAUGGAUACUGUGUUCAUCGUAAAGGAUGGCAAGACCCCCGAAGCUAAAAUGAUGCGCCGUCCUGCGGGCAUGCCUAGGUGCUAA
rnacentral:rRNA from 1 species